rnacentral:tRNA from 1 species
GGUUGUAGCUCAGUGGCAGAGCGCUUGCCUAGCAUGCAGGAGGCACUGGGUUCGAUCCUCAGCACCA